rnacentral:misc_RNA from 1 species
AAUUUACCAGAGAGAAUGUACGUGUGUUCACUAUUUUAUUUCCCUUGUCAAUGUGCCAAUCUACUAUUUCUUAUGGACUUUUAUAUUAUCUUCUUAAAAAACAAUGUCAAAUGUCAAUUUGUCCAAUAAAUGGGCAAUGUAUAUAUACAUAUAAGUGUCACUUGUCAAUCUGCAUUGUGAAUUUUGAAAUUUUAUGUGUACUUUCUGAAUCUUCUAUGCAGUGGGAGUAAUAGAAGCUUACUGAUCCUAAAUUGGGGAAUGCUAGCUACCAUAAAUAAGUUGGAUUUUCUUUUGAUGCAGAUUUGGAUAUACAAUUGAAAAAAU